ACUCCACAACACACUCGUGUAAUUUUACAGUCUCCUCCUAAUGUUGCAAUUUGUUCUACGCAUCUAUGGCAGUCCUUUAGAAAUCCAAAUUAAGAAAUGACAGCAAAGCAAAGUCAGCUGAUUUCCCCCUACCAUAAUCAUGAUAAGGGAGCUGACACAUAAAGUCAUUUACUUUAUUAUUAUUAUUACAUUGUUUAAAUAUAUUUUGAAUAAAAUAGACAGCCAGUUCGUUCAUUUAAUAAAAAUUCAGGUAAUAUCUGAGGAGCUAAUAAGGAGCUGCGUGCUGUAUCCAUCAUGCUUGACCUUUUUUUAAAUUCUUUUUUUCUAACCUAUAUCACACAUCAUUGUAACUGCACUAGCCAUAUCCCCCUGUGAUGUUAGCACAGCAGACAACUGCUAACUUCCAGGAAUGACAAAAUACAGCACCAACCAACAAUUAGCACCAGAUUUGCUAAGCACACCAUAAAUAAACAGAUUUCACAUAUUUCAGGGUGGAGUUUUCCUUUAACUGGCCCACUACAACAGAGCUCAGCGUGUUCUGGAAAACUCACCCUCUAAGUGUAGUCGUGGUAAAAACAAAGCAUUUUGCACUUAACACAAUGAGAAAUGAUAUUUAGCCGAGUGACAGAGGAAUAUCUGGGACUUCAUGUUAUCUUGAUACAGCAAAAUGUUCAAACAUUCCAAUGCAAAAGGGGGAAAACUGAGGUUAGUAACCAAGUGAGCCCACAGUGUUAGGGUUUAUUUUAUUACAUUUUAGUGCUUGUAACUGCUCCCUCAGGCAGCACUGUGAGUGCACUACUUCAUGAGUUUUUUUUAUGACGGUUGAAACCACUCCAGUGAUUAAUGAUGACAAUCUGUCUGGAAUGGUUUCACCUUUCCUCCCUUUUUGGCUUCUUUCUGUCAUGUUAAUCUUUCAAGAGCUCUUCACUCUAUGCACUUGGCACAUUUUUGAAAUAGUCACUCAGGAAUUCAGACAGUUGAUUCACAAGGCAGGAGGUAUCUUGGGUGUUGGGUUUAUUUGUGGCAUAAAGGUGUGACUUUACGCAGCUCAGGAAGGGAAGACUCAAGCAGCAUCACUUGAGGAAUGUCUUGAGAAGAACAAAGUGGUCUCGGCAUGCUUCAAGAUGAGGUUGCUAAAAAGAUGUUCACCAACUUGGUGCAAAUAUUGUGUGAUCCUUUACUGGUCACGGGGAAGCCUGGAGCCUAUCCCAGGGAGCAUCGGGCACAAGGCGGGGUACACCCUGGACAGGGUGCCAAUCCAUGGACCAGAAGCAUACCAAAAAUUCCUGUAGUUUUCCAGGGAAAAGCAAAUCGCAGAGGUGGUUCCACAUUCGUUACAGAGAAAUUGCCUUCCUUCACAGUGAAAGAGCUUGGUGUGCUUCUGUUUAAUAGAAUAUUAAGUUGAACUAUCAAUGCUUCAGACAGAAUCUGGUAAUAAAAAUAGUGUCAAAUGUUGUACUUAAAAAAACAAUGUUAAUUAAUGUUAUUACAUUGUUUCACUACAUUAGCAUCAGUAAUCCAAAACAUACUGAAACAAGCAGAGCCUUGGCUUUGAGACAUUGACCUUUGCACAUACAUUUUGUCCAAGAUUUCAGCCAGAAAUAUUUGGCAAAAUGGCUCAGUUAAGUCCUGUGUUUUGCUUUGAUUGCCAUGGAGAUUCCAAAACUUCCUGCUUGGUCUGUGCAUGGAAUGCAUCUGCCCCCUCCUCGUCUUCCUGCUCCUGCUGAAAAAUUCCCCUUCCUCUUUCAUUUGGCCUCAAAUUAUUGUCUGUAUCUCUGUCUAUCUAUCUGUCAGACACACAUUUAAUCUUAUUGCCUUCUACUUCUAAUUUUACUACACAAACAAAUGCUGCGUUGAGGAUCAAACUUCAAAAAUACUUUUCUGCAUUUUAUUUGCUUGUUCUUGGAACAUCUGAAAAUUCGUUGUGCGUCAUGUAACCCUUGAAAUAAAUUUCUUUUGCUCACAAACUACACAUCCCAGUGGUAUGCUGUGGCAUCUCUGA